rnacentral:rRNA from 1 species
CCUANGGGAGGCUGCAGUCGAGGAUCAUUCGCAAUGGGCGAAAGCCUGACGAUGCGACGCCGUGUGAGUGAAGAAGGCCUUCGGGUCGUAAAGCUCUUUCGCUUGGGAACAAGAGAGUAUCACAAAUAGUGGUAUGAUUUGAGUGUACUAGGUAAAGAAGCACCGGCUAACUCCGUGCCAGCAGCUGCGGUAAUACGGAGGGUGCAAGCAUUAAUCGGAUUUAUUGGGCGUAAAGGGCGCGUAGGCGGCUUUGCAAGUCAGAUGUGAAAUUCCGUGACUCAAUUGCGGAGCUACAUUUAAAACUACAAAGCUUGAGGUUAGGCGGAGAAAAUGGAAUUCCACGUGUAGCGGUGAAAUGCGUAGAUAUGUGGAGGAACACCAGAGGCGAAGGCGGUUUUCUAGCCUAAACCAGACGCUGAGGCGCGAAAGCAAGGGGAUCAAACAGGAUUAGAUACCCCANUANUC